AACUUUUUACAACGUGUCUCUUGGCUCUCGCAUCGAUUAAGAACGCAGCGAAAUGCGAUACGUAAUGUGAAUUGCAGAAUUCAGUGAAUCAUCGAAUCUUUGAACGCACCUUGCGCCCCUUGGUAUUCCGAGGGGCACACCCGUUUGAGUGUCGUGAAAAUCUCAACCUUCUCGGUUUCUUCUGGACACCGAAGGAGGCUUGGACUUUGGAGGCCUUUGCUGGCGUCUCUCGCCAGCUCCUCUCAAAUGAAUUAGUGGGGUCCUCUUUGCCGAUCCUCGACAUGUGAUAAGAUGUUUCCAUGUCUUGGUUUAUGGCUCUGUUGCUUUUGGGACCCGCUUCUAACCGUCUCAACGAGACAACGUUCGAGCGUGUCGAACACUCUUGAACCCACGAACCCUUGACCUCAAAUCGGGUGAGACUACCCGCUGAACUUAAGCAUAUCAAUAAGCGGAGGCU
rnacentral:misc_RNA from 1 species